GGUGGGAUACCGAAGCGGUCAAACGGGGCAGACUGUAAAUCUGUUGGCUUACGCCUUCGUAGGUUCGAAUCCUACUCCCACCA
rnacentral:tRNA from 1 species